rnacentral:rRNA from 1 species
UAGUCCACACCGUAAACGAUGAGAGCUAGUUGUCAGCAGGCAUGCCUGUUGGUGACGCUAACGCAUUAAGCAUCCCGCCUGGGGAGUACGGUCGCAAGAUUAAAACUCAAAGGAAUUGACGGGGACCCGCACAAGCGGUGGAGCAUGUGGUUUAAUUCGAGGCAACGCGAAGAACCUUACCAGGACUUGACAUGCCGGUCGCGGAUCGUAGAGAUACUUUCCUUCAGCUUGGCUGGACCGUGCACAGGUGCUGCACGGCUGUCGUCAGCUCGUGUCGUGAGAUGUUGGGUUAAGUCCCGCAACGAGCGCAACCCUCAUCCUUAGUUGCUAACAUUUAGUUGAGAACUCUAAGGAAACUGCCGGAGUUAAUCCGGAGGAAGGUGGGGAUGACGUCAAGUCUUCAUGGCCCUUAUGUCCUGGGCUACACACGUGCUACAAUGGUAGUGACAGUGGGCAGCGACACAGCAAUGUGGAGCUAAUCCCUAAAAGCUA